CUAAAAAAAAUUUGGGGAGGCGCCCCCUACGAAAAACGACUUAACCUGACAGCAGAGCUGACAGACGUCAAAAUUUAAAGGUUAAGUUAAAAAUCAACAAACAAACCAAAAAAACUUAUCAAAGGUCUUAUCACUUGAGGUAUCUGAGCAUAAGAUGUUUGAUUCCGGAGACACUCUGGCCUUAAUUCUUGGCCUUUUUAUCAGCAGCAUCGGGAUUUUGGCUUGUCUUGGAGCCUAUGCCCGAAAGAAAGCCCAUUUUGAACGUAUUUAAGUGCGAAGUCUGUUAUUUUCAUAUUCCUACGCAAAUAAUGGCGAUAAAGAAAUGGAAUGUUACGCAGUUACCAUUCUUAAAACAAAGAUGUAAAAAGUAAUAAAGUUUUUAUAUUGCAAAUAAAAAA